rfam:Canis lupus familiaris chromosome 1, whole genome shotgun sequence.
CAUAGUGGGGGUUUGCUCUCUGGCAUACUUGUUAGGUUUUCAAGGGAGCCUGACUCUGCCACAUAUACUAGAUAGAAGCUGGCAAGACUUGAUGGGAGAUUGGCUCCCACAUGU